UCCGUGUGUGCCAAUAUGUGCCAAUAUUGGCAUUAUUGACAAAAGUUCGCGGCGCGAAUCACGAAGUGAGUUUUUGCCACGAACGCACCCAAUACACUCCAAUAUGUCCAAAAAUCAUGUUUUGGUGCUUUUUGAACUUUUUCAUUCCGGUCAAAAACAUCGCACCCGUGUGGGCCAAUAUUGGCAUGAAUUAACAAAUGUUCGCCGCGCGA
rnacentral:misc_RNA from 1 species